rnacentral:misc_RNA from 1 species
GGGUACUGCGGAGACAUUACAGUGUUUUGCGGCGCGCGUAGGUCAUGAAUUUGGCAUGCCGCGCCGCUAAAACCCCACCCUUGACUACUGUACCUUUUGUUGCUUCGGCGGGCCCGCCCCUGUGGCCGCCGGGGGUUCGCCCCUGGCCCGCGCCCGCCGGAGACGCAUCUGAACUCAAUUGUGAAUUUUGGCCGUCUGAGUACGAUUUGAAUCGUUAAAACUUUCAACAAUGGAUCUCUUGGUUCCGGCAUCGAUGAAGAACGCAGCGAAAUGCGAUAAGUAAUGUGAAUUGCAGAAUUCCGUGAAUCAUCGAAUCUUUGAACGCACAUUGCGCCCCCUGGUAUUCCGGGGGGCAUGCCUGUCCGAGCGUCAUUGCAACCUUCAAGCGCGGCUUGUGUGAUGGGUCUCGUCCCCUGUGGACGGGUCCGAAAGGCAGUGGCGGCGCCCGAUCGGUGCCUGAGCGUAUGGGAAACCUCUCCGCUCUUCGAGGCCCGAACGGCGCUGGUCGUUUAACCAAUUUUUUACCGGUUGACCUCGGAUCAGGUAGGGAUACCCGCUGAACUUAAGCAUUUCAAUA